CACGUCCCAGCAGUCCGGCGCCAGAGUGCCGUUGUGGUAGUACUUGGCGCACGAGCGCAGGAUCUUGAGUGUGUGCGACACGUCGCGCUCGGUGAUCAUCUGGCAGGAGGACCUGUUGGCGAGGACGGCGAUGUAAUUACCCAGAGUCCAACUGGGACAACAGGAAGCGUCGUUGGUGCGCUGACAUAAGCUCCAAUAGUCGCGGACGUGUAUGGGGUCCAUGAGGCGCAGUGACAACGUUCACCCACCGGAGGGAGCCAGUUUGGUCUGCAUUAGAGCUUGCUGCCAAAGUGAUUUUCUUCCUAUGCAGUAAACACAUUUUGUCUAAAAGCAGAAAAGAUUUAACAUGUUGUAAUUCACUGACUUCAUGUGAGCAACAUGUCAAACCUUCAAGAGGAACUGGAGGACCACAUCUUCGAGUCUGUCUUGGUCCAAUCAUCUUCGACUCCGCCAAUAAUUCAAAGUCCCUCCAGGUUCUUGCCCUCGGCUGAUGAGAAGACUAGCCUGGAGUAGCUGGAACCUGCAAAAUGUUGAAGACUUUUAGUCAAUGAUGACAAGCAAGAGAUGUUUAUGAAAGGUUAGACACUAUAAAAUGUUGAAAGAGAGCAAACACAUCAAGAGUGGAAAACAUUCUGCCAUACGUUAAAGUCAGACUGACUGGCUAGUGUCGACAACAGUGGUUGUCAACAGAAGCAAAGACAGCAAAUAUCAUUGCAUAAUCCAUCCAUCCAUUUUCAACCGCUUAUUCCCAUUUGCGGUCGCGGGGGGCGUUGGCGCCUAUCUCAGCUACAAUCGGGCAGAAGGCGGGGUACACCCUGGACAAGUCGCCACCUCAUCGCAGGGCCAACACAGAUGACAAGACAACAUUCACACUCACAUUCACACACUAGGGCCAAUUUAGAUAUAAUAAUCAAAAUAGAUUUUAUACAGCAUUUUUUUAAUGACUUAAAAUACGUUGAUUAUUGACAUGAUACAAAUACUGAUAAAUUUUUUUUAGAAGACACAAUUUUUGUUUAUUUGUGCACAAACUCAAUGAAUGCAGGUUGUUGCUCAUGAAACCCUGUGUGAGAGGAUCAUCGUGACAUUAGAAAGGAUCGUCGGCCUUAUCAGAAGCUUUGAAAAUGUGUGAGAGCAUCAUCGUGACAGAAGAAAGGAUCUUUGGUCCUAUUAGAUGCUUUAAAAACAAGGGAAAGGAUCAUAGACUUAAGCAGUUUGAAAGUUAAAAGAAGAACAUGAAGGACCAGGACUAAGUUGGUCAACAUAAACGGGUUAUCAUCAUAAACAUGUUGUCGACAAACGGGUUGUUGACACAAGCAGUUUGACGCCACAAACCGGUUGUCAACAAACAGGUUGUUGGCGUAAAC